CCUACGGGAGACAGCAGUGAGGAAUAUUGGUCAAUGGACGAGAGUCUGAACCAGCCAAGUAGCGUGAAGGAUGACUGCCCUAUGGGUUGUAAACUUCUUUUAUAUGGGAAUAAAAUGUUCCACGUGUGGGAUUUUGUAUGUACCAUAUGAAUAAGGAUCGGCUAACUCCGUGCCAGCAGCCGCGGUAAUACGGAGGAUCCGAGCGUUAACCGGAUUUAUUGGGUUUAAAGGGAGCGUAGGUGGAUUGUUAAGUCAGUUGUGAAAGUUUGCGGCUCAACCGUAAAAUUGCAGUUGAAACUGGCAGUCGUGAGUACAGUAGAGGUGGGCGGAAUUCGUGGUGUAGCGGUGAAAUGCUUAGAUAUCACGAAGAACUCCGAUUGCGAAGGCAGCUCACUGGACUGCAACUGACACUGAGGCUCGAAAGUGUGGGUAUCAAACAGGAUUAGAUACCCCGGUAGUC
rnacentral:rRNA from 1 species